rnacentral:misc_RNA from 1 species
GAAAUGCGAUAAGUAAUGUGAAUGGCAGAAUUCAGUGAAUCAUCGAAUAUUUGAACGCACCUUGCGCUCCUUGGUAUUCCUUGGAGCAUGCCUGUUUGAGUAUCAUGAAAUCUUCAAAGUAAAUCUUUUGUUAACUCAAUUGGUUUCUACUUUGGUAUUGGAGGUCUUUGCAGCUUCACACCUGCUCCUCUUUGUUCAUUAGCUGGAUCUCAGUGUUAUGCUUGGUUCCACUCGGCGUGAUAAGUUAUCUAUCGCUGAGGACACUGUAAAAGGUGGCCAAGGUAAAUGCAGAUGAACCGCUUCUAAUAGUCCAUUGACUUGGACAAUACUUUUAUGAUCUGAUCUCAAAUCAGGUAGGACUACCCGCUGAACUUAAGC